AGUAAAAUAACUAAGUGUAAAAAAUGAAAGUUACCAACAAAUUGACAAAUAUUUGCAUAAUUCAUAUCAGGGUGAAUGAAAACCACUGUUUUCUCUUAAGCCGGUGUGAGAAUAAGGAAGAAAGCUAGAGGAUGAGAGGAUAGCAGUUACAUGCAGCAUCUUUUUCCCAACAGUUUUCCCAAACAAAUAAUGUCUGAACUAAUAAAUGCAAUCAGCUGUUAAGAUUAGUUCUAAACAGAUUAUUCCACCAUACAUCAACCCUUCAGUCUCUAUCUCGUCUCCAGCGAACCCUACAUCCGAUAUUAGAACGCCUUGCGUUAUCGAUUAUUGUUUCAACAAAAAUUCUACCUAUUUCUUUCGAGGGAAGAGAUCCCUCUCGAACUGUAAAAACAGUUCUCAGCCGUCUCUCAAAACGAAUACACCUUUGACUCACACCGCCAAAUAAAGUCUUGGUACAAGGACAGCUCUCUACUUUAUUUCAUUGAAAUAUUAAGUCGCGUCUCGCGCGUGACGCAGCUCACCUUUCGUAAAAAAAAGGCUAGCAGAACUGUUAAAGCCUCGGAAUUGGAUCGGAAAAAUGUGGCAAAUAAGGCGAAAAAAUGGAUACGAGGGGGAAAGCAAUUUUAGCGAAGAUCAGAAUGGCCGCGAGGAAUAUAAACCCCUUGAAACCAGAGGCCACGAAAUAGUAACAGAAUUGGAAAUACACAACAUGGACGUUUGUGUUUUAUCCGAAGCAAAGCAGGACAAGGGAAAACGCAAAUGUGAAAACUAUAUAUUGUUCUUUAAUGAAAAAAAAUAAUAGAGCGAAGCCUGGAGGAUAUUAAUUCAUCAAAAAUAUGACCAACACAUUGAAUCUGCCACAAUACAUACGUUGCCGGCUAAAAGUUUGAGGUCGCAUAUAAAUGUUAAAAAUCUUCCAGUGAAAUAUUGCUUGAAAGUCCGAGUCACGCCUUAUUUAAUACUUUUUCUUAAUUUGAAAGUAAACAGACGUUAUAUAUGUGUAUAUACUUAGCAUAAUUGAGUUUAAUUAUAUUUUUAUUACUCUUAUCGUCGGUUUGUUCUCUUUGGUCACUAUUUAUUUCGAUUUCACUCGAUUUAGGUCGACUUUAACCACAAGCGAAAAUAGUGGAUUUCCAUCGGAAACAAUUUCGGCGGCAAAACAUCAUGAUUCCACAUACGAAAUUAUGACAAGACAACAUUAUUCGUGGAGAUGUUGCACAUUGACUGCGAUAGCGUCGUUCUACGGGUCGACUACCGUUACUGACCCUAAUAACCUCGUUGGCUGUUCUCGACGAUCAAUUAAUUAUGGCCUAAUUGGCGUUAAAGGGCUGAUAUUGCGAUAACAAACCAACCGCGGUUUGUUCCCUUGCUUAGCAACUAUAUCCGCCAAUAUCGCGCGUAAAACGAGAAAAAUUAUUGAUAGCCAUCGGCACGGACCGCGUCAUUAAUCGAUAAAAUAUAGAUAUAAAAGAGAUUGCUUAUAUAUAUCCCAAGCAAAAUGAAGAAAAAAGUAAUCGGUCUUGUCUUACGCCGAUAAACCUCGGCGUACUUUUACUUCACAGGAUCUCGUUUUUUCCCCCCCUUCAUUUAACGCUCGCGUCGUUUUAUUUUAUCUCCCGAUAUCUUCCGCAUAUCUUUCAUUCGUGUAUUCCAUUGGCUUUACCAUAAAUUAAAUUCGUAACUUUACUCUAGCGCGACAAUACAUUUUUCCCGUUGGGCCUUUCGGCUUUCACUUUACGAACGCUCGAGCCCUCGCCAUUCCCACGUAGUUCAACUUUAAUCUAUUCUUUAUUAAGAAAUACAGAUAAUGACAACACAAUUAAGAAGAAAACGAAAGCGACGCGGGGGAAGACGGAGACGUGGAUGACGAUAGGUAUUGCUUGUCGGGCGGCUCCGUCGAGUGUCGUUCGUGCUCGAGCAGAGCUAAGAAUACCGCGGCCAGCCAUAUUUGGCAAUGAGACCGCGUGACCACGCACGGCGAAAACAGGAGUGGAACCCCGAUCGUGCGGAGACAAUGGGAUUACAAUACUAUGAGGAUCUACCCGAAGGACAACGCGCGUUUACGUUGAGUUAGGAUAUCGCGAAGGGAUGCUCCCUCUUUACUUUUAUCUCCCGUUUAAUCUGUUGUAAAUCGACAUUGUUUCUAUCAUCGUCUCGUUUGCCUCUGCACGCGAGGGGGAAAAAUCUCGUGGUGCAAAACGGCCGGUUUAACUGGUAAUAGGCUGACCUUUUAAUAGCACGAUUCUCUUCGUUUAUUACGGACGAUUAGAGGAAGUAAUGCAACGUGAGGAAGUUCAAAGAGGAUUAAGAACGCCGCGCCCAUCUUGCAGAUUCUAGGUCAAAUCGAAAGGGUGUGGUGAGAGAUUCAAAUACAGGCCGCAGAGCAAUUUGUCGAAAUGCUUCAACUUCAAUGACUCGGGCUGUCGGAUUUUUCAACGCGUUGUUGCAACUCACGAGAGUGCACGCCCGUCGCUUGGUCCAUCGCGGAUAAUCUCAGGUAAAGUUUACUCGGUUUUUCUUAUCGUAGAAUUAAAUAGCAAUAACAGCUUCGCAAAAGUAAGUGGAAAGGG